rnacentral:rRNA from 1 species
UACACACCGCCCGGUCACACCAUGGGAGUGGGUUGCUCCAGAAGGCGUUAGUCUAACCGCAAGGAGGACGACGCCCGCGGAGUGGUCCAUGACUGGGGUG